rnacentral:misc_RNA from 1 species
CGGGCUUCGUCGACUCGCAGGAUAGCCUUCGUUGAAAUUCUCCCGUCAUCCGUGACGCAUCGAUCGAAUGUUUUUUUUUUUUUUACAUUCACCGCGUGUAUUAACAAAGUUUCCGACACGGAAAAGGGUGUUUAUUUUUCGAAUUGUUUCCGGGGCUUCGAAUUAGGUGGAUCAAUACGUCCGAACAGCGCGCUGUUGAAUGCCGGUGAAAACGGUGACGUGGACAGGUCGACACCGCGCGAUCGCAAUCCGACCGGCAACGAAAUGUUAAUUUUCGUUCUCGAACCCGCCACCUUCUAGCCAGUAAAAAUUCUCGCUACAAGAAAACACGUUUAUUAUCAAAAUAAAUGACAUAUAUACGAACGGAAUAACAAAUAAGAUAUUUUCCUUAAACUAUUAUUGUUGGAGUAGUGUGGUUUCCAAGCUGUAAGAAAUUUUACAUCAUUCACAUACACAGGUACAAAAUUUAUGUACAUCAGAUGAAUCGAUUGAGGCACGUGCGUCUUCGAGGCAGUAAAAAAUAAAAAAAAACAAAAAUUAAAACCAAAAAAACCUGGUCAAUUUUUUGUGACCGGGAAGACGAAUGGUGAUCUCAUCGACAUCGUUCGUUGAGCGAAAACUUUCCAAGUACAAACGAUCGCCUCGUUUUUCUUCACCUGGAAACUAAUUACAAAUGUGCUUUAUCUACUAGUCCACCCACGAUCGGAACACUUUUGAACAAUUCCGUGGCGUAAUCAAGACCCGUUUUGGCAAUUUCGAAAUUCUUGCAGACGUAGUAGAAGAUCGUGAAGUAGAAGGUGUACACCGCCGCGUAAUGAAUAACGUAGAGC